rnacentral:lncRNA from 1 species
AACACUGCACUGAGCAACCUUGCUGAGGAGAAACCAAAAGAGGUUCGAUAGGAGAAAGAUAACGUUAUGCUCGAGAUACGAACAAAUGUCUUUCCUGUUGGUAAUCAUAUCACCCUCGGGAGAGCACUGCGGAUCUCCUAAGUAUCCUUCCAUCAUCGUGAAUGUUCACUUUGUUUAAGAACAAUUUUUUUUGAAAAAUUUGUUUAUUUUGAAA